rnacentral:rRNA from 1 species
GAUGAACGCUAGCGGCAGGCUUAACACAUGCAAGUCGAGGGGUAACGUGAGUGCUUGCACUUGACGACGACCGGCGAACGGGUGCGUAACGCGUAUAGAAUCUGCCUUGUACAGGAGGAUAGCCCAGAGAAAUUUGGAUUAAUACUCCAUAAUGUUAUAUAGUGGCAUCAUUAUAUAAUUAAAGAUUUAUUGGUACAAGAUGACUAUGCGUCCUAUUAGUUAGAUGGUAAGGUAACGGCUUACCAUGGCAUCGAUAGGUAGGGGGUCUGAGAGGAUUAUCCCCCACACUGGUACUGAGACACGGACCAGACUCCUACGGGAGGCAGCAGUGAGGAAUAUUGGACAAUGGGCGAGAGCCUGAUCCAGCCAUGCCGCGUGCAGGAAGACUGCCCUAUGGGUUGUAAACUGCUUUUAUACAGGAAGAAACCUACUUACGUGUAAGUAGCUGACGGUACUGUAAGAAUAAGCACCGGCUAACUCCGUGCCAGCAGCCGCGGUAAUACGGAGGGUGCAAGCGUUAUCCGGAAUCAUUGGGUUUAAAGGGUCCGCAGGCGGUCAAUUAAGUCAGAGGUGAAAUCUCACAGCUUAACUGUGAAACUGCCUUUGAUACUGGUUGACUUGAGUCAUAUGGAAGUAGAUAGAAUAAGUAGUGUAGCGGUGAAAUGCAUAGAUAUUACUUAGAAUACCGAUUGCGAAGCAGUCUACUACGUAUGUACUGACGCUCAUGGACGAAGCGUGGGGAGCGAACAAGG